GCGGGAAUUCGAUUCAUGCCUAACACAUGCAAGUCGCACGGUCAGCAAUGGCAGUGGCGGACGGGUGAGUAACACGUAGGAAUCUAUCCCAGGGUGGGGGACAACAGCGGGAAACUGCUGCUAAUACCGCAUGAUACCUGAGGGUCAAAGGCGCAAGUCGCCUUGGGAGGAGCCUGCGUCUGAUAGCUAGUUGGUGGGGUAAAGGCCUACCAAGGCGACGAUCAGUAGCUGGUCUGAGAGGAUGAUCAGCCACAUUGGGACUGAGACACGGCCCAACUCCUACGGGAGGCAGCAGUGGGGAAUAUUGGACAAUGGGGGAAACCCUGAUCCAGCAUUGCCGCGUGUGUGAAGAAGGUCUUCGGAUUGUAAAGCACUUUUG
rnacentral:rRNA from 1 species